GAUGAACGCUGGCGGCGUGCCUAAUACAUGCAAGUCGAGCGAACGGACGAGAAGCUUGCUUCUCUGAUGUUAUCGGCGGACGGGUUAGUAACACGUGGAUAACCGACCUAUAAGACUGGGAUAACUUCGGGAAACCGGAUCUAAUACCGGAUAAUAUUAUGAACCGCAUGGUUCAAAAGUGAAAGACGGUCUUGCUGUCACUUAUAGAUGGAUCCGCGCUGCAUUAGCUAGUUGGUAAGGUAACGGCUUACCAAGGCAACGAUGCAUAUCCGACCUGAGAGGGUGAUCGGCAACACUGGAACUGAGACACGGUCCAGACUCCUACGGGAGGCAGCAGUAGGGAAUCUUCCGCAAUGGGCGAAAGCCUGACGGAGCAACGCCGCGUGAGUGAUGAAGGUCUUCGGAUCGUAAAAAUCUGUUAUUAGGGAAGAACAUAUGUGUAAGUAACUGUGCACAUCUUGACGGUACCUAAUCAGAAAGCCACGGCUAACUACGUG
rnacentral:rRNA from 1 species